GUCUUCUCAUUGAGCUCCGUUCUGUCAACUGGUGGCAGAUAUGGAUUCGCACGAGAAGGAGAGAGAAUUCACAGAACUAGCGCUUAACUAACCUUCUGUUUCUACAGAGGUUUAUUUGUCUGUUGUGUGAUACAUUC
ensembl:snoRNA SNORA75 Small nucleolar RNA SNORA75